CAGUCCAGGGAGGACAGCACUACUGUGUGCAAAGGGACCGGGAGAGAGAUUGCACGCAACCAUCCACACAAAAAGCUCAACCAGUGUUCUUGGUCAGUGUGCAGAUGUGUACAAGCACAAGAUUUUACACACCCCACACACAGGCCGGCCGCAUGGAUCGGAGCAGCAGCAGCAGCAGCUAUAGCAAGAAGGACGAAGAGAAAGGCCUCCUGACAGAGCUAGCUAGUGUCAUGUGUCGCCGGCCGGCGACUAGCGCUCCGGCAUCCUGAUCUAGGGUUUCCGCAUCUGCGUGCAGGUUUAUGUUUGUCUCUGCUCGCGGCAUAUCUCAUGUAAUUAAUAAAGCAAGAUGGAGAUCAGAGGCUGGCCUUUUAGCUUUUCUUUAGAUAAUGGCUGCAGGCUUUUUAGCUAGGGUUUGGUGCGAGAGCUAGCAGCUGUGUGGUGAGGAGCUACAGCUAGGUCUUUCGAAAAAGGAGCUACUGCAGCUAGAGUGUGUGUGGCCGUGCUGUAGUGCGUGGGAUUAGGGCACAUCGAGGGCCUGAUCUCAUCAUCAUCACCCUGGGGUCCGGAUCAGCUCUAUAUAUUUGUUAUUGCCAAACACCUUCGACCUCGCUCCAGCUUCUUCCUAGCUCAGCUAUCUAGUCGCCUAGUCCCCAUUAUUCUCAGUCAUUGUUCAUAUGUGUAGUAUGUGCGAGGGAGAAAGAAUAAUGUGAGCUGUGUUGAGGGCGAUUGCUGCUAGCAAUGGAGAAGAUCUUGCAGGCGUGAAAGCAUCCCUUGAGCUUGUCUUGACACAGGACAUGAUGUGCUCUUGCGUGCAGGGCAUAUUUUGGUUGGAGGCGAUGGCGGCAGGAGGAAGAGAGGUGAAAACUAGGGAAUAUGCCUGGCUCCCUGUAUGCCACUCGCACGGCUACCACCUGGACGAUCAUAUCGGAGCCCUGAUCGAUCGGUGGCCGAUGCGGCUGGCGUGCGAGGUGCCAAGCAUGGCCCUGCUCUCUCUCUCUCUCUCUCUCUCUCUCUCUCUCUCUCUCUCUCUCUCUCUCUCUCUCAUUUGAUCUGCUUAGCAUUUCUUAUUUAUUCACAAUAAUAUAUAGUCGCUGACCCGUGCAUUCGCAAAGGCUAGAGAAGCUAGACUCACACAUGCUAACCUUUAUCCUUUGUAUGAGGUAUUCGUAUAGUAUAUGCAACAUUAUUUGAAUCUAGUGUUGAUUAUAUACAGAUUUAGCCUUUGUAUGAGGUAUUGUAGGAAGCUGGCAUAUAUACAGCUGUGAUGAAAUCUCUACUGCUGUGGGUGUGUGUAGCUAGGUUUGAGUCUUCCACAAGUAGAAAAUAAUGUACUCAUGCAUUGGCUUUAUUUUUUAAUAAAAAAACUUAAUAAUGUGUUCUUGGACUCGUAUCAUAAUGCUCCUAGUCUUUUCUUCUCCUUUUGGAAAGGUACCUUCUAUAGCUUGAAGAGAACACAUUUGUUAAUCACAUAAACAUAUGUAGUGUUGUAUUAUAGGAAGCUGGUCGAUCACAUAAACACCUUUGUUAAUCAUUUGUUAUUUAGGAAUCCAAGUUUGAUUCCUAACUCUGAUAUAUACAUGUGUCAUGUGUGUGUAUGCUGCUGCGUGUGUGAGAGUGUGAUGUGGGUUGAGGCGGCGCGCGCACGAUGACAAACCAGCCCAGGCCCCAGGGAGACGGACGCGUUGAAGUUUGUGUGGCCCCGUCGCAAAUGCCACGGCCCAGCGAGCCAUACGCUAUGGGCUUUUCUUCUAAACUCUACUAUGCGGCAUUGGGCCGGCCGGCGGGCAUUGGGCAGCAGGAUUACGACUCAACGUUUGGUCGUUCAUAUCCAUCCAGUCGAGCAAGGGGGAAUUUGUUUAAAAGUUUAACUUUCAUGAUAUACGUCUCUUAUCACGUAAGAUGGUAUAUAUAUUUUGUAGAUAUAUUACUAAUCAAAUAAGUGUAAUAUUGGAGACCGCAAUAUCCUAACGAACUUAUAUUUUCUAUUACCGGUGGAACGCCAUAUGGUUCAUGGUAGAUAUGCAUAUGCCAUUCCCUCUAUUCGAAACACAUUUUUUUAGAGCUGCCUGUUAUAUUGAAGGGAAGGAGAAGCUAGAAAUCCCAAAGUAAUUAUAGGUGCUAUAGGAAAUUACACCUUAUACACAAGAUUUGCCAAAUGUUUCGCGGGUCCUUGAUUCUUGAAGCAACUACCGAUGCUGAUGACUCGAUCGAAAAUGCGAGCGUUGCGCUCCUUCCACACUUCCCAGCAGCAAAUGAGAAUGAUAGGCGAUCGUAGUCCCUUAAGUGGCCUGCUCCUAGUUCGCUGGGAGAAUCUCCGGUAUUGCAGCCAAGUAGCUAGUUGGGUCCAGAUGCGUGUUGAAAACCUACACUCGAAUCGAAGAAGAGGUGUUUCCCUGUCUCCAGCGCCCGGCGGCCAACCACUGGAGCUCAGUCUAUCCAGCUAGCCACGCAAUGAUUCUUAAACCGCGGAGAUAGAAAACGUAGGAAUACAUUAUUGCCAUCUUCAAUCAUAUGGACUGAAGAAUGAAGUUACACAUGAAACUGCAUGAAUGAUCGUUUAGACGGAGCACAUAAAAAACAAAAAUAGAUAGUGAAACAAAGGGAACUUUUUACAAUGUUUAUCCUUGAUAUCGUUCCCCUAAGAUUCCUUUGAACUUGUGUGAACUCAAGUCCUUUGUUCCAACUUCCAAGAGGCUUCGUAGGAAAACUUUAGGCAGGAUUCAAGCAUCGACCACUCGACGAUAUUUGAAUGUUCUCACGGAGGAUGCAAAGGGCUGGCCUUUUUCCAUUUUUUUUCUUUUGCGUUGCUAUAGGAAAAAGAAAACACGGAGAUGGAGACUAAAAUGACCACCGAGCCCUCAGCCGAUGCUCUCGAUCGGGAACUCUGACUGCUCGCCUCCUCGGUCUCUCGGCCACACCGGCCGGCGGACACGGGCUCCACUUCGCCGCGGGCCAUCGCAUUCGCAGGUUCACACGGGGACGAGAGCCGAACCGUCCGCCUAAACUACUAUAAAAUGACCAUCGAGCCCCCAGCCGAUGAACAGCGACAGCGGCCACUUCGCCUUUCCUCGCUGCUCUUGGCCUCCUGCCCUGCUCGCUCCGUCUCCUCUCUCCCUCGCGGCCGCACCAGGCCAGCGACCGUAAUGGCCACUGCGCCACCGGGGGAUCCGCCGCCGCCGGACUCCGCAGAUGACUGCAUUCCACUAAAGAAGAGGACUUUGUGCGGUAUCCAGCAGCAUGUCCAGACUCCUGAUAGAAUCAGUUCGCUACCUGAUGACAUUUUGGUCAGCAUUCUUUCGCUAAUGACUGUAAGGGAGGCUGCAAUGACUGACUGUCUUUCCACCAGAUGGAGACACCUCUGGGCAAUAUGUUGACCAUCUCAUCCUUGACCCACAUGCUCUUGGGAUGCAAGUGCAAGCAGAUUCAAAUAAUCAUGGAAAUCCAAAUUUCUAUAACCCAGAAGCUACAAAGUUUGUGCAUAAAGUUAAUGAACUUUUGAGCCAUCAUAAUGGCAAUAAAAUCAAGAUGUUCAAGGUCCAUUUCCCAUUAAACUCAGCCCAUGCUUCUGAGCUAGAUCGCUGGGUUGCGUUUGCAGUUGCAUCCCAUGUAGAAACAUUUGUCCUUUUCCUUGGUGACAAGCAUGUCAUGGGGGACCACAGAGCAUACAGAGCCAUAUGUCUUCGCUUUGAAGCAUUUUUCUGAUGUCAGAAGCUGUCAAUUGCAUACAUUGUCUCUAGACAAGUGCAUUUUAGAAACAGCCCCUGCAAACCUCAAUGGAUUUUCCAAUCUACAUUACCUGUUACUCCACCAUGUGCAAGUGGUUGAUGAUGUUGUUCUGAGUAUCGUGUCCAGCUGUCAGGCUCUCUGCUACUUGAAUCUGAGCCGUUGCAAUAAAUUGAGAAAUCUGCACAAUUGGUGGCCAUGGAAGUUUAUUGCUGCAGUAGAAUAAAAAGUAUCAGUAUUCAUGCUGAAAAGAUCAAGAGUUUCUCAUACAUGGGUCGUCCAAGGGUACAUACUGUGUACGAGUGUGCACCGGUUCUUUGAGAGCUCAGUGCAUCUCAUGUGGAAACUAGCUACCAAUCCCCUUUAAACUGCUUAGGUGUAUUUCCUGAGCUCAAAAUGCUGACAUUGCAAUUUCCAUCACGUUUACAGAUAUCUUGUGUACUACUGCACAGUGGAAAAUUCGCCGGUUUGAAGGAAAUUACUUUGGGUAUCUUAUUUAGAUCUUGGAAAAAGAGCAUUCGUUUUGUGGCUUUUGUCCGUAAAGUUGCCCCUUUAGUUGAAACACUUAAGGUUGAGGAUGUAACACAAUUUUAACAGUCAGAUUUCAGAAUUUUUUUCUGGCCCUCACGGUCCCACUAACUGAGUGGUCACUGUUCAGCUAUCCUUUAGCCUUGUACUGUCUCAUGUUGGUUUAUUUAUUUGCAGGCUGGUGGCAACCUACGACCACUGAAAGAUCUUAAGGUUAGAUGGCCCAAGAAUUUUGCGGAAACAAGGCUCAGGACUAUUAGGAUUGAAGGGUUUAGUGGGGAAUCAGAGUUCGUUGUUGCAACUCUUGUUUUUUCUGUGCUCAAGACACUGCUAAUUGACACUGGCCGUCGUGGCCGAGCCAAGUACCGAGGCUUAUGGCGCAGGAGUAAUAGGUCUGAAGAUGCCGUGAGGCAAGAGAGGUGGCACAGAUACACCUGGCCCCUAAUGUUCCGUCCACAGUGAAGCUUAGUAUCAUGUAACUUGUUGAUACUAAGCUAGUUACAUGAUACUAAGAAUGCCAUAAGUGAUGGUCAGAAAAUA